CUCAUCUGGUAGAGCAACUGACUUGUAAUCAGUAGGUGAUUGGUUCGACUCCGAUAAGCG
rnacentral:tRNA from 1 species